UCGCUGUCAUUACGCGCAACAUUGUGCGGACGGACGGGCGGAAUCUGGAUCUGGAGAGUCUACUUGUUGCAGAGCCACACGGCGGCUGUCAGAUGUUGCGCACAGACCUUCAGUCAGUCUCCAGUCAGUGGAGUAACCAGACUAAUCCAUCAGACAAACAACUCGGGAAGAUUAACCUUUUUUUUAGCCUCGCGAAAGUAUAGUUGUUCAUCUCCGCGCACCACUCCGAAGCCUGUGUUUUUUUUAUUUGUGCGAUCAUUUACUGUCACAUGUGCUUUUGGUUGAGAAUUCAAUAACAACAAAAAAUGGCGACAAUCACGUUGCUCUGUGUGGUCUAGUGUGCUGCUGCGUCAUUAAAAAUAUUCAUGUCAACACGGGGAAUUAAACGGAAUAAAACUGCAGAAAAAGGGGUGUGUAUGCAAUGCUGGGCGUUAACGUUUGGCUGCACAAUAUCCAACAUUUGCACUUAUAUUUAGUCGCCUUUUAGUCGCCUUUUAAAGAGCAUAUUCAGCACAACUGGAGCAGGUAUGCGUUUUAUUAUUGUUGUUUAGAACUUUUAGUUUUAUUUAGUAGAAAAACAGCAACAAGCGUUUAACUGUGUCCUCGCUGUUGUGUUUAUUAUAGGAGCUAUUUAUAUGGCGUGUUGCCUUCACGGUUAGUAGGUUAUAAGGCAGUUAUUAACAUUGAGGGUUUUUAUGCAAUAUGGACGCUUCUUCUUCACAGUCUCUCCUCUACUGCUUGCUGACAACAAAUGGAGAUAUUGAGCCCAGCAGACUGUGUUGCUCGUCCUCUCACAUGUUCAGGUAUGUGCACAUGUUGCUUGGCUUUUUGUGACAUGAGCAUUUUGUUGUUGUUCCACCAGUGAGUGGCCUGAGCAGCGGGGCUAAUGGAGUUGUUUACAUGAAGAGAGGAGGAGGGCGGACUGGUCGAGGAGGAGGAGGAGGAGGAGGAAGAGGAGGAGGAGGAGCUGCUACGUCGGUCCAGAGACGCCACCGGACUGCUCGAGAGGUGGGCGGAGCCUGCAGGGGAGAAUCAUAACAAGUCUGACGUCACUCGGCCUUGUGGUUGGUAUGAAUAAUAUACAGUUAGUUUGUCUCCUCGAGACCAAGUCCGAGCAGGAAAAAGAGGUUUGGAAAAAAAAAAAGUCUUUGUACCAGUAAUUGUUUUAUGAGAUGAAACAUUAACGAGCCCUCUGUGCACAGAAUGGAAACUAAUGGAAAAAAACUUUCAUAUGGAAAGAGAUUGUAAAAUAACUAAAAAUGAUAAAAAAAAAAUACAUAGAGCAAGCUUCCUCCUCCUAUUUUUUAAGAAAUACAAUUGUUUUAAUUACAAAUUCACAGCCAGUAGUUCAUAUAGUUCAAGCUGCAUGUGCAUGGCUGUGCACCCUUCAGACACAGGUAGACGUUUCAUCUGUGCACCAGCAGAAUGGAAAACUAAUGGAAAAUAGGGAUUAAAAGAAACUUUCAUAUGGAAAGAUUUAUUAAUGUAUUUGUCAACAACUAUAACUCCUCCUGUGGGCAAGCGUAAGUGGAGGCAAAGAUUCCUAGGUGAAAUUCAGAUUUGGAGUUAGGGUUCAACCCGCCAGAACCCUAACCUUAGCCCCGUAAACCGCAACACACACACAUCAGACAUCACAAUGGUUUUAAGACAAAAUUAAGAUUUUUUUUAUUUUCAUAAAUAACUAUUCAUUAGAAUAUAUAAAUAAACAAUUGGUCCCUGAUAUUGUUGACUUAAAAGUGUUCAGUCAGUUUCACUAAAGUUUACACUUUUAUUAACAAAUAAGUGCGGCAGAUGAAAACGUGUGUUUUUUUUGUUCAUUUGUUACCGCAAUGCAAAAAAUGGGGAAGGGCGACAACUGGCACUUUUUAAAAAAUUAUUUAAUUUAAAAAAAUAUUUUUUUAGAGGGCGACCAGCACCCCCCAUAAGGUGGCGCUCUAGGCGACCGCCUAUAUGACCUAUGCCUUAAGCCGGCCCUGACUGAGUCAUUUGCAGGACAGAAUCAAUAGUUGUGCAAAUAGCGAAAAUCUAUACCUCAAAUGAUUAAGUAAAUUAAUCAAAUACAACAGCAUAGUGGUUUAAGUGCACAUGUGAGCUCAUUCCUUCAACUUCCAAGACUCACUGCUGAGCCAAUUUCACCAAAUCUAGACUUUUCUGACACAAACAGUAGGAUGUAGCAUAAAGGAAACCUGGAUGAUCAGGAUUCUAUGAGCCUGCGUAAGGACCAGUUUAUUUCUGUUCUCCUAAACAAAUAUAGUUUAUGUUUUGUACCUUUUUUACUCUGACUUUGUGAGGUUAUUUUCUAGUGUUCAUUUUAUAUUUCCCCAAAAUGUUAUGGAAUUUUCCAAAACGACUUCCUGCUUGUGGUCAUUGUUUGGAAGGAAAUGUAUGUAUUAAAAUGAAGGAUUGAUAGGUUACAUGUCUAUAUUACUCUGUAGAUUAAUCUGUUAUAGUAUUAGCUAGUUAGUUAUAUGGAAACAAAUGAAAUGCUGGAGAUAUUACUUGCCAUAUGUUUUGUAUGAGACAACAUCAAAUAUGCUGCAAAAAUUCAAAAGGAAGACUUUGCUAUGUUUGCACCUGUUUGCAUCCGGAGCACAGGUAUUAUGGGUGGAUGAUGAUGAUGAACGGAGCGAAGCCCCGGACUGCUAGAUUUGUCAGGCUGCCCUGGUUCAGUUAUCACAGUGCUGAUGCUGUCCCCAUCGAAGGUACAGUACUGUGAUAACUGAAGGAUGGCUGCCAACUUGACACGAGUGCAGUGAAUCGAAGCACGAACCAGACGAGUAAAGAGAAGGUGGACAAGUGUGAGUAUGUUUUUUAGUUUAAUUUGAUAUCCAAAAAUCCAUGUGUUUCUAUUCUCAACAUUUUUUUCAUUCAUUGAAUCUGUCAUUAUUUAGAUUGUGACUGUAUUGUUUAUUUAAGUACAAGAAACAUUAAACUCAAAACCUGUAAAUUACUAUUGUCUUCACUACUUAUGUAACAUCUGCUUAACUAUAAGAAAUAAAGUGAAAUCUCUUUUA